AUCGGUCAUUCUGAUUACCAAAUUCGAGCUUGCAAAACUGGUCAAGAAAAAGAAAAUUUUAAGCAUUGACUGUUCCUUUCAAUAAAUCACAGACAUCAGCAAUAUACCUAUCCCAGCUAUCUGGUGAUAUGUGCAACCAUUCUGAAGAUGACAUUAGAUAUUUAAAGAAGUUAAUUUGAGCUGAGAUUUUCAAAAGAUGGUGCCACAGAAGAAGAUUUGAAUGGAAAUUCAAACAUGGCAGAGGGGAGAAUUUUGAACAUGCUAAUGGAGAUAACCGAGGUUGGGGGCUUUGGAUCACCUGAAGGAGUGAGACAGAAUGCUGCUCUAGGAAAAUGGCGACAAAGGCGAGAGACAGUAAAAAUCCUGAUUGAUUUUCAUUAUUGA
rnacentral:lncRNA from 1 species